UGCCUAAUACAUGCAAGUCCAGCGGAUUGAUGGGAGCUUGCUCCCAUCANUCAGCGGCGGACGGGUGAGUAACACGUGGGUAACCUGCCUGUAAGACUGGGAUAACUCCGGGAAACCGGGGCUAAUACCGGAUAACUCAUUUCCUCGCAUGAGGAAAUGUUGAAAGGGGGCUUUUAGCUAUCACUUACAGAUGGACCCGAGGCGCAUUAGCUAGUUGGUGAGGUAACGGCUCACCAAGGCGACGAUGCGUAGCCCACCUGAGAGGGUGAUCGGCCACNCUGGGACUGAGACACGGCCCAGACUCCUACGGGAGGCAGCAGUAGGGAAUCUUCCCCAAUGGACGAAAGUCUGACGGANCAACCCCGCGUGAGUGAUGAAGGUUUUCGGAUCGUAAAACUCUGUUGUUAGGGAAGAACAAGUACCGUUCGAAUAGGGCGGUACCUUGACGGUACCUAACCAGAAAGCCACGGCUAACUACGUGCCAGCAGCCGCGGUAAUACGUAGGUGGCAAGCGUUGUCCGGAAUUAUUGGGCGUAAAGCGCGCGCNGGUGGUUUCCUUAAGUCUGAUGUGAAAGCCCACGGCUCAACCGUGGAGGGUCAUUGGAACUGGGGGACUUG
rnacentral:rRNA from 1 species